UCGGCAGGAUGAGUUAUCGCCGUUUCGUUCACACGUUGCGGAGGAAAGUCCGGACAAGACAGAGCGCCGUGCCGUCGAAAGGGCGGAUAUUCGAGAGGGUAUCGGUUAUGUAACAGAAAAUAACCGCCUUGCGUAUGCAAGGUAAGGGUGAAAAGGCGGGGUAAAAGCCCACCGCAAACAUGGCAACAUGUUUGGCAGUACAGCCGCACGGCUUGCAAGGCCAUGUACACCGGCAUUAAAGGGCUGCUCGCUUCGUCGGGGGGUAGGCCGCUGAGCCGUACCGCGAGUACGGACGAAGAUAAAUGAUAACACGCUGGUUUCUACCGGCGAACAGAAUCCGGCUUAUAGUCCUGCCGAUUUU
rnacentral:RNase_P_RNA from 1 species